CACUCAAAAUUCUGAAUGGACUUGGAGGUAGAUGAAAAAAUGAGACCAGUCUACAGCUGGAGAGGGUUUAAAAGAAAUUAGUAGUAUCAGAAAGGAUAAAGUGCACUUAUAAUGUGAAAAGAAAAAUGUUGGAAGAGGCAUGGCUGUUCCUUCCAAGGGAAAUCAGCAGUUUAAGAGAGGGAUCACAUGCAGAUAAGCCACCAACAAAUCUCAUUUCCUUUGUGCUUGGUCCCACAGUGCAGUCACAGAAGAAGAGGGACCAAAAGUGACAGAAGGGUCUGUGGGCUCCUUGUUCAUCUUCUGCCAUGUGAAACUGGGAAACUUCACUCUGGAGAAGUGGAGACAGAUGGAAGAGCGUAGUGAUGAGUCAGAGGUCAUUCCAAGGAAUAGCAGCUCGCUCCAACAAAAAGUGCCCUAUAAAGAGACAAACCAAAGCAUCCCUCUGAAAAAUGGGUUGGAUUUGGCCAGAGUUCACGGCGUACGAGAGCACCAAGGUGUAAGCCAAGGCCAGGGGAUUCAUGUCCAACAGAGAGCUGAAAGAAUGAGAAGUGAUUCCAAUCCGAGCCCCUUUCUCAUGGCCCACCUCUGGGAAAGACUACAGGAUCUCAGGCUCCACCAGCAGUGGAGAUCUUUGUCAAAAUCAGAUCACGAUGCAGGAGAGCGGGCGAGGUUGCGCAACCCAGAGCGAAGUUUCCCAUGCCUGCUGUGA
rnacentral:lncRNA from 1 species